rnacentral:pre_miRNA from 1 species
AGGAGCAACAGCCCCAGUGGCGGGGCAGCUCUGGAGCCCUGGAUUCAGCCCCCGCAGGAACUCCGGAGCUCUUCGUCUGCAGGGCCUGGAGGCUCCGGGCGGGG